rnacentral:lncRNA from 1 species
AAUAGAGAUCAUAGACUUAAUAAUCGAGUGGCCGUUAAUGUUUUUCUUUCCUUAACGAGCAAAAACUGACCACUAAAAAGUGAUGGUUCAAAGGCUAGGCUCACCGGGCUUAGUGGACUGGAAGUGCAGCAGCCUGUAGUCCCUCCACUGUUGGGAGCCAGAGGUAUUCGCUGCUCUGUGAAACCAGCCUCACGCAAUUCCCCCUCGUCUAGGGACCAAGAGACAUAGACCUUCACCCAUGUCCCGUGGCACAACUCUCAACUUGGAGCGGGCAGGCCAGCAUAUUGCAGCUAACAGACCAGCCAAACAAGCCGUAGCCACGUUCCAUCACUUUGGUGCUCCCACUUGGGUCACAAGUUGGCGCUACCCAACUCAGCAAACAAUCAAGCAUGUUAGAUUGUUAUAUAGACUUGAUUUUUUUAUGAUAUAUCCGAUGUGGGACGUACAAAUGCUUAGAACAAUCAUGCCAAUUCCUUCCUUAAUUUGUUUGUAAUUACAAACAAAUCUUCUAAGCAAAUUUCAAUUAACCAUUAUCAAUAUUAUUGUGUUCGUCAAUUCUUUUCCUUCUUCUCUUAUAAUAAGUUUUACAACCAGUGGAGAAUAUAAAUGAAUUCAGAUUCACAAUAUAAUUUCAUUACAAUUUGAGUCACGCUUCAUAAAUAGAGAAUGCCUCAAUGCUUCGCUAUAUGUCCCACUUCCAUCAUCAUACCUUAAUUUAGUUUCAUAAGAUAAACCAUAACAAAUCUCAUUCUUUGACAACGUUCCAGAGCUAAGUGUGUGUAAGACAUGGAAAGCAAUGCCAUCUACCAAAGGAAAAACAGGUACAUCAAAAAUAGAAGAAAUCUUUAUGAUACAUAAAUACAUUGUUAAUGAAAUCAAUUGAAUAGUAAAUUCAUAGCCUUCGACCCAUCAUCUUUCUUUGACCUUCUACAGGAUUUCCCUCUUGAUCAAAAAACUUCAUCGAACUGCCAUACAUAUCAUCAAUUGUUUUUUAUAAUCAAAAUACAAUUUUAUGAACACAUAUAUAAGGUACUGAAUAAUUAUGUAUGACUAACUAUAAGGCUGCUAAUUUUCUAAACACAUUCAUAUGGUACUAGAUUAUUUUUUGAAUAUAUAGUUGAAUUGUUUGCACUAAAGAGAGAAUUAAACUAAGGCACGGCGGUUUAAGUCUUACAAAACAUAUAGAAACCACUAAAGAGAUGCAAAAUGCUUUGAUUACAACUGCUUUAGGAGAAAUUAGUUCUUAAGGAAAAACUCUCGAACCAUUUUUAAUCCCUAUAACAUUUCAGAAUUAUGAGUUUAUUAUGUUACAAAUUUAUUUUCUUUGUUUUUUUGACUCUAUAACAUUAUAGGAGUUAAACAUAUUGAACUUGAAAAAACAAAAAAUGCAUAACGAUUUCGAGAUCAUUCUCAUCCAAUGUAAUAAAAUGUAGCUUUGUCAAGCCAAUGCACAAUUUGCUAUGUAUCUCUCCAUAAAUUAAAAAAAAUAAGGAUAAUACAUAUGGAGGUGACGAAUGACAAUAAACUUUUACUUCAUGUAGUAAAUAUAAUAACUUUUUUUGGGGAAAAAAAUAAAUAAUUGUUCUCAAAAUAAUAUAAUUUUUUGAAGUUGAUCAUAUUCUCACCACAAAAAAAAAGACCUUAAUCUUUUAUUUGUAAACAUAUAUUAUCGCAACCGUAACAACCGUGCUUGCUAUUUAAUUAAAUUUUUCGCAAAUAAAUGGAUCCAAUAGAGAUCAUAGACUUAAUAAUCGAGUGGCCGUUAAUGUUUUUCUUUCCUUAACGAGCAAAAACUGACCACUAAAAAGUGAUGGUUCAAAGGCUAGGCUCACCGGGCUUAGUGGACUGGAAGUGCAGCAGCCUGUAGUCCCUCCACUGUUGGGAGCCAGAGGUAUUCGCUGCUCUGUGAAACCAGCCUCACGCAAUUCCCCCUCGUCUAGGGACCAAGAGACAUAGACCUUCACCCAUGUCCCGUGGCACAACUCUCAACUUGGAGCGGGCAGGCCAGCAUAUUGCAGCUAACAGACCAGCCAAACAAGC